rnacentral:ncRNA from 1 species
GAACAAUGUAGGUAAGGGAAGUCGGCAAGUUCGAUCCGUAACUUCGGGACAAGGAUUGGCUCUGAGGACUGGGCCCGUCGGGCUGGGGUCCGAAGCGGGUGUGGCACUGCACCGGGACUGGGCGAGACUGGCCGUGAAAGCGGUCCGGUCCGGCCCGGACCAGCGUCGGGGCCUUCCCGUGGAAUGCCUCAGCUGCGCGGAGCACCGGGCACAAAGCUCGGAGCGACCGUUUCGGCGGGCAACUAACAGCCGACUCAGAACUGGCACGGACUAAGGGAAUCCGACUGACAAUAACUGUAUUCACAUUAACAUAACUUACUGCC